rnacentral:rRNA from 1 species
AACGAACGCUGGCGGCAGGCCUAAAACAUGCAAGUCGAACGAACCGCAAGGUUAGUGGCGCACGGGUGAGUAACACGUGGGAAUGUGCCUCUGGGUACGGAACAACGUCGGGAAACUGACGCUAAUACCGUAUAAUGUCUACGGACCAAAGAUUUAUCGCCCAGAGAUCAGCCCGCGUCUGAUUAGCUAGUUGGUGAGGUAACGGCUCACCAAGGCGACGAUCAGUAGCUGGUCUGAGAGGAUGAUCAGCCACACUGGAACUGAGACACGGUCCAGACUCCUACGGGAGGCAGCAGUUAGGAAUAUUGGACAAUGGGGGAAACCCUGAUCCAGCCAUGCCGCGUGUGUGAAGAAGGCCUUAGGGUUGUAAAGCACUUUCGGCUGUGAAGAUAAUGACAGUAGCAGAAGAAGAAGCUCCGGCUAAAUUCGUGCCAGCCGCCGCAGUAA